rnacentral:rRNA from 1 species
CGCCAGAGAACUACAAGCGAAAAACUUAAAACUCCAAGGACUUGGCGGUGCCCUACACCAGCCUAGAGGAGCCUGUCCUAUAAUCGAUACUCCACGCUUAACCUUACCCCCCCUUGUAAACCCAGCCUAUAUACCGCCGUCACCAGCCCACCUUCUGAAAGAGACUAAGUGGGCAUAAUAAUUAAUAAUUAACACGUCAGGUCAAGGUGUAGCACACGGGGGGGCAAAGAUGGGCUACUUUUCCUUAAACAGGAAAUCACGCACGGCAUG